rnacentral:rRNA from 1 species
UACGUAGGGUGCAAGCGUUGUCCGGAAUUAUUGGGCGUAAAGAGCGUGUAGGCGGCCCGAUUAGUCCGCUGUGAAAGUCCAGGGCUCAACCCUGGAAUGCCGGUGGAUACUGUCGGGCUAGAGUCCGGAAGGGGCGAGUGGAAUUCCUGGUGUAGCGGUGAAAUGCGUAGAGAUGCGGAGGAACACCGAUGGCGAAGGCAGCCCCCUGGGCUAACACUGACGCUCAGGCACGAAAGCGUGGGGAGCAAACAGG